GACGAACGCUGGCGGCGUGCCUAAUACAUGCAAGUCGAACGCUGAAGAGAGGAGCUUGCUCUUCUUGGAUGAGUUGCGCACGGGUGAGUAACGCGUAGGUAACCUGCCUUGUAGCGGGGGAUAACUAUUGGAAACGAUAGCUAAUACCGCAUAACAAUGGAUGACACAUGUCAUUUAGUUGAAAUUGGCAAUUGCUCCACUACAAGAUGGACCUGCGUUGUAUUAGCUUGUAGGUGAGGUAAUGGCUCACCUAGGCGACGAUAUAGAGCCGCACUGAGAGGGUGAUCGGCCAGACUGGGAGGGUGACACGGCACAGACGGCCAGGGGAGGCAGCCGUAGUGAAUCGUGGGGAAGGGGGGGAACACUGAGCGAGAUACGCGGAGGGAGUGAAGAAGAAUGUCGGAUCCGAAAGCACUGUUGUAAGUUAAGAAAGCGCGUGAGAGUGGAAAGUACACAGUGUGACGGUAGUUGAUAAGAAAGGGACGGCUAACUACGUG
rnacentral:rRNA from 1 species